CAUGCAAAGAUUGUGGUCUGACAAUUUAUAAGAUUGCUUUGCACGACUGAUCUAAUUAGGACCACUCAAAAUACAUAAAAAUAUCAAAAUAUAUAAAACAUAAAACAGUGUAUACACCCACCUAACACUGUAGUGUAUACACCCACCUAACACUCUCUCCCUCCCAUAAAAGACCACCUUAUCUCUAACUUGAUCGACACCAUAUAUCCUUGCAAAUCUUAAAACAAGGAGUUAUUAUUAAUGUCCAUGGCAGAAAAACCCCAUAUAGCUAUACUACCCAGUCCAGGGAUGGGUCACCUCAUCCCACUAAUCGAGUUUGCCAAGGCGCUACUUGCUCUUUCUUCCAACUGCUGUCUGCCUUUUCGCCCGUAAUUUUGUUUCCUUCUACCAGAGCUUUCUUCCCUUUCUUUCUUCCCUUUCUUCUCCUCCUUCCCUUUCUUCCAUUUCUUUUGCCCAUGAAUCCGAAAAUAAUUUCUUUCUCCCUUUCAAAUUUUCCUCUCUAUUUUCUCUCUUCCCUUUCUCUUUCUCACUUCCCCUACAGCCCGACACUCCCUCUCUCCCCUUCUAUCCAUUUUUUAUUUAGGUUUUGUUAAACCCAACCUCAUAAACUCAAAUUUCCCCAUCUAAAUCGCACUUGACGAGCACGAGGAAAUCUUAGUGAUAUCGUUCGAGUAAAUCGCUAUUGAGGGGUCGAGGAAAUCACUGCCCAAUCCCAGAAAUGACUGCUUAAGGGUUUUUUCUUACAUUUUUCUAAGCACCCAAACUGAAAGCAUUUUUCUUACAUUUCUAUUAUGAAUCACAAGGUUUCUAAGCUGAUCUUUGAGUAGUAUUUGCUAAUUUUUUAAAAUUUAGAAUUGUGUUUUUUAUUCUAGCUUUUCCAUUUUUGUGCACUCACGUAUUCCAUAAUUUUUUUAUUACAAAUUUCAGCAAUAGGACUCGUAGCAUCUUCGAUUUUUGCAUAUACUCCAUCUUGGUCUAAUUCAAGUAUUUAAUCUCUGCGUGUGUGGAGUAUAAUGUUUUUAGUUUUUAGGCCCAUUUUGGUGGAAUUGAACAUGUAUCAAUAUACUGUUGAUUGAGUUGAGAGUUCUGAUUUCAAAUCAUGGAGUUCUGCUAUAAUCUUGUUAGGUUCAAGGAGAUCAGAGGAAUUGUAUGUUUCCUGAAGACCCUGGUCAAGUAUGCUUUAUUGGAUCCACUCCCAUUUUAAAUGGGUGUUGGAUUGAUGUUGGGAACUUGGAUUUGGAAAAGCUAAUACUUUACUGUGUCUGCUAAACUAGAAAACCAAGUGCUUUAAAGUUUAAAAUUUCACCAACCACUUAAAAUUGAUAAUGCUUUUGAAAUGGUUUUUCCCUUUCUUGAUUAGCUGCUGAAUGAGAAUUGCAUUAAGGGGAAAGAGGCACCUGAGCUGCAAGUAGUUCUUGACUAUAUAGGAAUAUAAUUCUUUCUUCUUAAAAAGAAGAUAUCAUGUGAUAUUUGUUUCAAUGGAAAGCUUUUUUUUCUUCUUUUUCUGCAUGGUCCUAAUAAAUGAAAUGGAAUUAAUAUGCAUUAUUAUUUUAUUUCUCAAAGAAAGAUUUGAGAUGUAGAGGGUUGUGUCUGAUUCCAGUGUUAUUAUGUGGUUAGGAUGUGUCUGAUUCCCGUUGUAGUGGUUACUCUGAACUUGGAAGAAUGCUUCUGAAGCUGCAGAAGGCUGCAGCUUAAGGUCAUUUAAGGUUACAGAAUGCAAAAAACUAGGAAGACAUGUUUUGGACAAACAUGUGGCUGGAUAGUCACUAUGAGAUCUGUAUUAAUUAUUUUGAACUUGCUGAAAUUAUUUGGGUACUGCUACUGAAGUGUAAAACUGCUACUGAAAUGUAUUGUUAUUUUCAUUUCCUGGUUUAUGAAUUGGUUUGUGGAGCAUUUACAUUAUUUUGAUACUAAAAUGUGAAUAUAUUGAAGUUGUUGGUUUAUGAACUGGUUUGUUGGUGUAAAUGUUGAGUAGAAAUGUUGAUACUGAAAUGUACUGCCGCUUGGCAUUUGUUGGA